rnacentral:lncRNA from 1 species
AUUAAUGGGGCUAGCAAUGGGGUUACUUCAGUGGAAGGUAUAGACGGCGGCUUAGAAAAUUGGAGGCCCUAAGUUUAAUUCAUACUACUGGAAGAGGAAAAAAAAGUUAAGGAAAGGAGGAGGAAGUGGAAGAAAGAAGGAUGAAAGGAAGGAGGAAAGAGAAAGGAGGAGAAUAGAGGAGAAAGGAAGGAAGGAGACGGAGGAUGCGGAGCAGGAGGAAGAAGAAAAAAAAAGACAGCGUGGACCUCCUAACUUCCAAUCAAUCUCUUCUUUUUUAACCUUCCCCAACUCUGAGGAAGGGUCUUUAGCUCAGGUCAGCUUGGGCUACAGAAUAAUACCCUGUUCAACACCCCUACCUCUAAAAAAAAAAAUCCAAAAAACAAAGCACCAGGCCUGCCAGUGGUGGCACACGCCUGUAAUCCCAGCAUUUGGGAGGCAGAGGCAGGCGGAUUUCUGAAUUUGAGGCCAGCCUGGUCUACAGAGUGAGUUCCAGGACAGCCAGGGCUGCACAGAGAAACCCUGUCUCGAAAAACCAAACAAAAACCAAACCAAACCAAA